UACGUAGGGGGCAAGCGUUGUUCGGAAUUACUGGGCGUAAAGGGCGCGUAGGCGGCACGGCAAGUCAGGAGUGAAAGGCCUGGGCUCAGCCGAGGAACUGCUUUUGAGACUGCCGAGCUAGAGUGCAGAAGGGGCAACUGGAAUUCCCAGUGUAGCGGUGAAAUGCGUAGAUAUUGGGAAGAACACCUGAGGCGAAGGCGGGUUGCUGGGCUGACACUGACGCUGAGGCGCGAAAGCCAGGGGAGCAAACGGG
rnacentral:rRNA from 1 species